GGAUGGGUGGCCGAGCGGUUGAAGGCACCGGUCUUGAAAACCGGCAGGCCCUUGCGGGUCUCGUGGGUUCGAAUCCCACCCCAUCCGCCA
rnacentral:tRNA from 1 species